rnacentral:rRNA from 1 species
AACGAACGCUGGCGGCAGGCUUAACACAUGCAAGUCGAGCGCCCCGCAAGGGGAGCGGCAGACGGGUGAGUAACGCGUGGGAACAUACCCUUUGGUUCGGAAUAACUCAGGGAAACUUGAGCUAAUACCGGAUACGUCCGUAAGGAGAAAGAUUUAUCGCCAAAGGAUUGGCCCGCGUCCGAUUAGCUAGUUGGUGAGGUAACGGCUCACCAAGGCUACGAUCGGUAGCUGGUCUGAGAGGAUGAUCAGCCACAUUGGGACUGAGACACGGCCCAAACUCCUACGGGAGGCAGCAGUGGGGAAUAUUGGACAAUGGGCGCAAGCCUGAUCCAGCCAUGCCGCGUGAGUGA